ensembl:vault_RNA Vault Vault RNA
GGGCUGGCUUUAUCUCAGCAGUUUCUUCAUCUACUAAAUCAGCCUAAUCACCAGUUCGGUGGUUCAAGGCCCGUGGGUGCUUCCCCAGUCCUAUU